GUGAGAUCGCGAAUAGCUCAUAUAUAACAGCCAUUGUUUCUUGGAUCUUACUUUCCUACUUGGAUAACUGUGGUAAUUCUAGAGCUAAUACAUGCUAAAAAGUUCCGACGAAAGAGGAACGCAUUUAUUAGAGCUAAACCAAUCGGGGGAAACCCUGUUUGUUUGGUGAAUCUGAAUAACUCAGCUGAGUACAUGGGCUAGUCCUGGUACCAUAUCUUUCAAGUGUCUGCCUUAUCAACUUUCGAUGGUAGUUUAUGUGCCUACCAUGGUUGUAACGGGUAACGGAGAAUAAGGGUUCGACUCCGGAGAGGGAGCCUGAGAAACGGCUACCACAUCCAAGGAAGGCAGCAGGCGCGCAAAUUACCCACUCUCGGCAAGAGGAGGUAGUGACGAAAAAUAACGAGGUAGUUCUCAUUGAGGUCUACCAUCGGAAUGGGUACAAUCCAAACCCUUUAACGAGGAUCUAUUGGAGGGCAAGUCUGGUGCCAGCAGCCGCGGUAAUUCCAGCUCCAAUAGCGUAUAUUAAAGUUGUUGCGGUUAAAAAGCUCGUAGUUGGAUCUCCAGCUGUGAGGGUCGGUUCCCCACUGGGGUAUACUGGCUUCUCUGGCUUGACUCGCUGAUUUUCCCAGUGCUGCACUUAACCGUGUGGUCUGGGUGGUUAGCACGUUUACUUUGAAAAAAUUAGAGUGCUCAAAGCAGGCGUUUCGCCUGAAUAGUGGUGCAUGGAAUAAUGGAAUAGGACUUGGCUCCUUUUCUGUUGGUUCGGGUGUCAAGUAAUGAUUAAGAGGGACAGACGGGGGCAUUUGUAUUGCGACGUUAGAGGUGAAAUUCUUGGAUCGUCGCAAGACAAACAACUGCGAAGGCAUUGCCAAGAAUGUUUUCA
rnacentral:rRNA from 1 species